UUAUAAAACAUUAUUUUUAUUCAUUAAUAAAAUGAACUUUCAUACGUAAGUGUGAAGUACAUGAAUAAAAUCAAGGUAAGCAAAGCUCCUUAAAGGCUGACAGAAGGAAAACAAGACUGCUGACCCAAUCUCUGCGAUCUGCGUGAGCACAUGAGCUUAUGCUCCGUAUGAUAUAAAAUAUCAUUUUAUCAUUCCUGUCGUUUUCCUCACCCAGCAGCAGGACUGAGACAAGCAGAUUCCGGCGGUCCUGCAAAUAAGUUGAUCAGCGAGUUGAUCAAAGGUUCACGCCGCAGGCAAGACGUACGGCAAGACUGGAAUUUCUGCAUUGACACUGUUACUGCCACUGUUAUUGUGAUGUUAUCUCAGCAUUGAUUGUGAUGUUUUUCAAUCCACAUAUCCACAUCAUAGCAUUUCAGAGCAGACUGUAAGAGCAAAUUAAAAGUGCCUUUUUAAAAUGUUAUCACAACAUCCCGUUUCUUCAGAGAAAAUUGAAUAGAACAGCGCAAACUUCCAAGCAGGAAAAUUAGUGAGAUGGGUCUCAAAAGGAAGCUCACACGUAAUGUUAAUUAAAUAAUAACAUAUAGAUUAGACACCAAAGAAAGAAAUUGAUUCACAAAAUUCUUUGAUGCAUCCAGCAUUCAACAUUAUCACAACAAGGAAU
rnacentral:lncRNA from 1 species